ACACCGGCAGCUCAAGUGGUAGCCGCUUUUAUUGGGCCUAAAGCGUCCGUAGCCGGUCUGAUAAGUCUCUGGUGAAAUCCCACAGCUUAACUGUGGGAAUUGCUGGAGAUACUAUCAUGACUCGAGGUCGGGAGAGGCUGGAGGUACUCCCAGGGUAGGGGUGAAAUCCUGUAAUCCUGGGAGGACCACGUGUGGCGAAGGCGGCCAGCUGGAAGGAACCGGACGGUGAGGGACGAAAGCCAGGGGCGCGAACCGGAUUAGAUACCCGGGUAGUCCUGGCCGUAAACGAGGUGGACUUGGUGUUGGGAUGGCUUCGAGCUGCCCCAGUGCCGAAGGGAAGCUGUUAAGUCCACCGCCUGGGAAGUACGGCCGCAAGGCUGAAACUCAAAGGAAUUGACGGGG
rnacentral:rRNA from 1 species